rnacentral:rRNA from 1 species
CCUACGGGGGGCGGCAGUGGGGAAUAUUGCGCAAUGGGCGAAAGCCUGACGCAGCGACGCCGCGUGAGGGAAGAAGGCCUUCGGGUCGUUAACCUCUGUCAGGAGGGAAGAAACCAUGGGAGUCGAAUAGGCCUCUUUGCUGACGGNACCUCUGAAGGAAGCACCGGCUAACUCCGUGCCAGCAGCCGCGGUAAUACGGAGGGUGCGAGCGUUAAUCGGAAUCACUGGGCGUAAAGCGCACGUAGGNGGUGUCGUAAGUCGGAUGUGAAAGCCCUCGGCUCAACCGGGGAACUGCAUACGAUACUGCGGUGAUUGAGUGCCNGAGAGGGUGGCGGAAUUCCAGGUGUAGGGAGUGAAAUCCGUAGAUAUCUGGAGGAACACCAGUGGCGAAGGCGGCCACCUGGCCGGCAACUGACGCUGAGGUGCGUAAGCGUGGGGAUCAAACAGGAUUAGAUACCCUGGUANUCCACGCUGUAAACGAUGGAUGCUAGGUGUNGGGAGUUUACUCUCGGUGCCGCAGUUAACGCGUUAAGCAUCCNGCCUGGGGAGU